AAUCUGGGGUCCCCGACCUCCGAGUUGUAAUUUGGAGAGGCAUCUUCGGGGGGGAGCGCCGGCCCAUGUUCCUUGGGACAGGACGUCACAGAGGGUGAGAAUCCCGUGCCUGGCCGGCUGCCUCCUCCCGGGUGAAGGGCCUUCGACGAGUCGAGUUGUUUGGGAAUGCAGCUCCAAGUGGGUGGUAAAUUUCAUCUAAAGCUAAAUACCGGCGGGAGACCGAUAGCGCACAAGUAGAGUGAUCGAAAGAUGAAAAGCACUUUGAAAAUAGAGUCAAAAAGUACGUGAAAUUGUUGAAAGGGAAGCGCUUGAGACCAGACUCAGGCCUGGGCAAACAUCGCGCCCCUCGGGGCCGUGCAAUUGCCUGGGCCUGGGCCAGCAUCAGUUGGCGUGGCGGGACAAAGGCGCGGGGAAUGUGGCUCCCCUCGGGGUGUGUUAUUAGGCCCGCGCUCAAUGCCGUCGACGCCGACUGAGGACCGCGCCUCGGCUAGGAUGCUGGCUUAAUGGCCUUCAGCGACCCGUCUUGAAACACGGACCAAGGAGUCUAACAUCUAUGCGAGUGUUUGGGCGACAAACCCUUGCGCGGAAUGAAAGUGAGCGGAGGUGGGAACCCCCCCGCGGGGCGCACCAUCGACCGAUCCUGAUGUCUUCGGAUGGAUUUGAGUA
rnacentral:rRNA from 1 species